GACGUGGACGCUAGCCUCAAAGAUUAAGCCAUGCAAGCUAGCGAAGGUAACGGAGCGGCAUACGGCUCAGUAGGACAGGGAAAUCUGGCCACUAUGGAGGAUAACCACGGUAACCUGUGGCUAAGACGAGAGUGGGUGAGUCCCUGGCCUAUCAGCUUGACGGUACGGUAAGGGCGUACCGAGGCGACGACGGGUAACGGAGAAUCGGGGUUUGAUUCCGGAGAGGAAGCCUGAGAAAUGGCUACCACGUCCAAGGACGGCAGCAGGCGCGGAAAUUACCCACUUGGAGGACCAGAGGUAGUUAUGAGGCGUGUUGAUGAAGUUAGGUUAAAAGCCUAGCUGAAAGCUACUGGAGGGCAAGUCUGGUGCCAGCAGCCGCGGUAAUUCCAGCUCCAGAAGCGUCUGUGUGUGUUGCUGCGGUUAAAACGUGCGUAGUCGGGUUAUUCGCCAGCAGAAAAAGCAUGAACUCAAGUUGUGCAUUGUGCAGGGACGUAGACCUAGGGACCGGAGCGGGGCAACGUUAUUCGACAGCGAGGGGUGAAAACCGAUGACCUGACGAGGAGCAACAGAAGCGUAGGCGGUUGUCCGAGACGGGUCCGACGAUCAAGCGCGUAGGCAGGAGGAUCAAAGACGAUUAGAGACCGUUGUAGUUCCUGCAGUAAACGAUGCCGACGGGAGCGCAUAAUUGUGUGCUUCGAGGGAAACCGAGUGUACGGGCUCCGGGGAUAGUACGGGCGCAAGCUUGAAACUUGAAGAAAUUGACGGAAGGACACCACAAGGAGUGGAGUGUGCGGGUUAAUUUGACCCAACGCGGGGCAACUUACCGGGGCAGGCGACGUAGGGUGAAGGAUGAAUUCUUUGCUGAUCAGACUGAUUACGUCGCGCGUGGUGCAUGGCCGUUCUUAACACGUGGGGUGACCUGUCUGGUUAAAUCCGAUAACGCGUGAGACCCUGAAGGAAACUGACGGAGGCCACCAAGGCUUAGGAAGCGCGGGUCGAUAACAGGUCUGUGAUGCCCGUAGAUGUCCCGGGCGCCACGCGCACUACGUUGGGGGAGGACUAGUUAAAUUGCAGUCCCCCGUGGUUGGGAUCGACGCUUGUAAGUGCGUCGUGAACGCGGAAUUCCUAGUAGUUUGCUGUCACUAACGGCAGGCGAAUGAGUCCCUGUUCUUUGUACACACCGCCCGUCGUUAUCUAAGAUGGAAGUGCGGAUGAAGUCGGUUAGGCCGCAUGAAUCUGUGCUUCUAAAUUGGAUACAAGUCGUAACAAGGUU
rnacentral:rRNA from 1 species